GUGGGGAAUAUUGCACAAUGGGGGGAACCCUGAUGCAGCCAUGCCGCGUGUAUGAAGAAGGCCUUCGGGUUGUAAAGUACUUUCGGUGAUGAGGAAGGCGGUGUAUCUAAUAGGUGCAUCGAUUGACGUUAAUCACAGAAGAAGCACCGGCUAACUCCGUGCCAGCAGCCGCGGUAAUACGGAGGGUGCGAGCGUUAAUCGGAAUGACUGGGCGUAAAGGGCAUGUAGGCGGAUAAUUAAGUUAGGUGUGAAAGCCCUGGGCUUAACCUAGGAAUUGCACUUAAAACUGGUUAACUAGAGUAUUGUAGAGGAAGGUAGAAUUCCACGUGUAGCGGUGAAAUGCGUAGAGAUGUGGAGGAAUACCGGUGGCGAAGGCGGCCUUCUGGACAGAUACUGACGCUGAGAUGCGAAAGCGUGGGGAGCAAACAGGAUUAGAUACCCGAGUAGUCC
rnacentral:rRNA from 1 species